CCUUAGGAGAGAACAUAGGGUUAGGACACCUGUAAGCCUGCUUUCAAGAUGGCCCAGCAAACUGGUCAGUUACAAACUUUGCUAGUCAAGACAACUCAUCUUUGGAGCUAUUUACAGCUUUUAACAAUUGGGUAAAGUAUGUUCGUGUGAACAAAAUUUGGAGCAUAUUUGUUUUUUCUACCCAAUUUCUCCAGAAUUUGACAACUAUUCGCUAACGCUGCUCAUUCCUGGGAACCAACCAGUGAUCUCUGACUGCUGCUCAGAAGAAACAAGAGGGCUAGAUAUCACCUUCUGUCAGAAAUCAAGAGUUAUGAAUGACCCUCGACAUACCAAUGCUUUCUGACUGAGCUCCCCUGUACCCUGAACACAAGAGACCCUAAUAGAUAGGCAGGAAUGUCAUCACCCCUCUUCAGCCUGAAGAUGUUAUAGAAGACGGAUCUUCAUCCCUCUGCAACCCUAAGGAUUAAGGCUUCUCUUAUAAAAGGGAUGGGGAAAAUGUCA